rnacentral:piRNA from 1 species
UGAUAACAGUCCACAAUCUUGCCAUGGUU